GCCGGGGUGGCCGAGCCAGGUCCAAGGCGCGGGCCUGGAGUUAAGAACUAGAUAGUCCGUCCCCGCAAGGGGGCCCGGGUUCAAAUCCCGGCCCCGGCA
rnacentral:tRNA from 1 species